GCGCGAGUGGCGGAACUGGCAGACGCAGCGGACUUAAAAUCCGCUGGCCCGUAAGGGCCGUCCGGGUUCGAUCCCCGGCUCGUGCA
rnacentral:tRNA from 1 species